rnacentral:lncRNA from 1 species
GCUGGGUCUAGAGGACAAAGGUGGAAGCUGGAAUCAAUGCUUCUUGAUGAGACGGAUGUUCCUCCAAGUACAUGAAGUUCUCUGAAGCAUCUCCAGUUCCACUUUCCAAAGUUUCACAAGAGACUCAGGCAAAGCAACAGUGAAGAAUGGUGGCGUGUGAACAGUUUGGGAGCCCACCUACUCCUUGCCCCGCUGUAUGAGAGACCCAGACAGAAAGCUCACCUGCCCCUAGACAAGGACUGGUUUUAAGAUUGCURAUGCUGGCAACAAGUCUUGCUCUGGACUGCUGUGASUGCUGCCUGUCAUCCGCACCAAAUCAGGAUGAAGAGUGUCACGUUGGGGCCCCUAGCAGUGCUUUUCCUGGGAUACCUAUUCACCCACGUGUUCCUGGAAGGAAACAGGGCUCUACGC